UGGGUGAGAAGCAUUAAUUGCUGAUGGGA
rnacentral:piRNA from 1 species